CAAAAUAAGUAUGGAGCAGCAGAAGUGGCACUUCUAAAAGACAUCACCACAAAAAACCUGUGGCCGAAAAGAAAGCAAGGUCGUAUGUCCCGGCACAAACACAGUAGGCUACCCAGCCACGAAGAUUAUCGUCCGUAUGUUCUGUUCCGCCACUCCAAAUUUUGGACACACCUCCAAGGCGUCAUCCACACUCCCCUCAUCUUGAUUCUUCGAGUCCUGGGAACAGCAUCCCUCCGCAACAACAGCAACACAGUGACAUGGAGGAGACAAACAUCUUAAAAAUGCAGCCAUUAAUGCAAGGAAUGAGCCCCCCAGCACCUGUGAGUACACCACCACAGCAAAGCACACCACCACCACAACACAGCCCAACAACACCAGGAACACAAGGCCCUGAUCAGGUGUUUUGGACCAUUUGGGCUAGACAGCAGGCCACUAAUGAAGAUUGCCUACGUAAGCAGACACAAAUGUUUGCAAGCCUACCAUCUCACCUCAGAAGAAUAUCAAGAAAUCUGAGUAGACAAAAUAAGCAAACAACCAGAAUAGGCAAUACCAUGGAACUCAUACGUACAGACAUUACACAGGUCAUGGGCAACUUACAGCGCAUAAUGGAAGAACAGCACAGACAGCAGCAAAGUUACAUGAGCAUUUUUCAAAACAAUCAAAAGAUUAAUGAAAGUUUAUUCAGAAUAGUAGACAAUCAAAAUGCUGCUACACGUGAACUCAAUGCCACCCUCACUAACCUGAAUGAAACACUCAGAUGCAUGCAGCAACCGCAAACAAGCAGCAGUUCUGGUACGACUACUCCAAAUGUCACGUCAGUCUCAUCACCACCAAGACGCUCCACCAGAGCACGACAACAUGACAGUGCUGAAGGCAAAGGGCAGGACAAGCAGCCACCAAAAAAAAAGUGGAAAAAAAUAAGUUAGACAUUUGUGAUAAGUAACUCAAAAAAGUUAGCAAGUGUUUUUGUUGCUAAAAUAAUAUAACACUUAGGUCCUUGACCCUUUUUUCAACAUCACAAAAAUUAUUAUAAAUUUUGGACGAACAUUUAUUCAAAACCAUUUUUAUUUGGUAUUGGAGGCGGGAAAUGUUGAUGGAGCCACACAUACAUGUUAGCAGGAACUAAACUGACCGCUUGAUUUUUUUCUAAUCAUUACUCUUUCUAGAUUCCAAUCAUUCUCUUUGCCUGCAGAUACAAUAAUUGCCAGCCAGGCAGAAUGUCUUUAGCAGGAAGUAAACUGACCACUUGAUUUUUUUCUAAUCAUUACUCUUUCUAGAUUCCAAUCAUUCUCUUUGCCUGCAGACAAUCCAAAAUACAAUGUUAGUGAUACAUAUCUUAGCUAUCUUAUCUAUACAACAUUAUAAGAAGAACACAAUUGAGUUGCGUAAAAAGCUUGUAAUAUGUUGCCUUUGUUUUGUUUGAAAAACAUUGUCCAAAUGAAUGUCAGUAUUGUUGGGACAUGUUUGUGUGUGUUUAAAAUUAUUAAGAAUGUUUUGACAAGUGAUGCAGAAACAAACAAAUAUGUAAUUUAAAACAAAAAGCACAAACUGUGUAUAAUAAUGUAUAUGUGUGGCAAACUGUGUAUUUACUUACACAUCAUCAAGUUUACAGCAUCAAACAUUAGGAAAUAAAAUAUUCCUGAUUACAGUAA